CAAUAGCGUAUAUUAAAGUUGUUGCGGUUAAAAAGCUCGUAGUUGGAUCUCGGCAGGCAGGGGGUGGUUCGCUCUUAGCGCUACUGCCCCAUUUGCCUGUGUGAUUGGCGGAGGUUUCGGGGUGCUCUUCGUUGAGUGGCCCGGGGCGCCGUCAGGUUUACUUUGAAAAAAUUAGAGUGCUCAAAGCAGGCUUUUCACGCUUGAAUAUUCGUGCAUGGAAUAAUGGAAUAGGAACUCGUUUCUAUUUUGUUGGUUUUCGGAAAUCGAGUUAAUGAUUAAUAGGGACAAUUGGGGGCAUUAGUAUUCAGACGACAGAGGUGAAAUUCUUGGACCGUCUGAAGACUAACUACUGCGAAAGCAUUUGCCAAGAGUGUUUUCAUUAA
rnacentral:rRNA from 1 species